rnacentral:rRNA from 1 species
CCUACGGGUGGCUGCAGUGAGGAAUAUUGGUCAAUGGACGAGAGUCUGAACCAGCCAAGUAGCGUGAAGGAUGACUGCCCUAUGGGUUGUAAACUUCUUUUAUAUGGGAAUAAAACGUUCCACGUGUGGGAUUUUGUAUGUACCAUAUGAAUAAGGAUCGGCUAACUCCGUGCCAGCAGCCGCGGUAAUACGGGGGAUCCGGGCGUUAUCCGGAUUUAUUGGGUUUAAAGGGAGCGUAGGUGGAUUGUUAAGUCAGUUGUGAAAGUUUGCGGCUCAACCGUAAAAUUGCAGUUGAAACUGGCAGUCUUGAGUACAGUAGAGGUGGGCGGAAUUCGUGGUGUAGCGGUGAAAUGCUUAGAUAUCACGAAGAACUCCGAUUGCGAAGGCAGUUCACUGGACUGCAACUGACACUGAGGCUCGAAAGUGUGGGUAUCAAACAGGAUUAGAUACCCCUAUAGUC